rnacentral:lncRNA from 1 species
UGUUAGUUAGUUUCAUUAUGUGUUGAAGCUAAAGCCUUCAAAGGACUGUGUAUGAUUAGGGCUUCACAACUAUUUAUUUAAAGCCUUAUUUUGUCUCUGUUCAUGUUUAUAGAAUAUGAAAUACUCAGUAAGGCAGACUUAGUACAUAUAUGAAGUCUGUGUAAUCUCAGGGCUUCAGGAAGACUCUACCUGUUCUCCCAUACAACAAAUUCUGCCACUCAGCUGCUGCAGGACUGCCUUCCACAUAUACAUGGUUUGAAUUUCCUAAUUCUGAAAUUCUCAGUGGGUUGUAUCAAUGAUAAGUAUUUGUAUCUUUAGUGCUGCCUGAGUUCAAGACAUGAUGAUAUAGUUUGGCUAUGUCCCCACCCAAAUCUCCAUGUGAAUUGUUUCUCCCAGAAUUCCCACAUGUUGUGGGAGGGAGAAGAUGGGGGGUGGGGCAGUAAUUGAAUCAUGGGGUCCAGUCCUUCCCCUGCUGUUCUCGUGAUAGUGAAUAAGUCUCACGAGAUCUGAUGGGUUUAUCAGGGGUUUCCGCUUUUGCUUCUUCCUCAUGCUUUUAAUCUUGGUGCCAUCAUGUAAGAAGUGCCUUUCACCUCUCACCAUGAUUCUGAGGCCUCCCCAGAGAUGUGGAACUAAGAUGCAGCAACAAGGUAUCAUCUUGGAAGCAGAGACAGGGCCUUCACCAGACACCAAACCCAAAGAUCCCUUCAUCUUGGACUUUCAGCCUCCAGAACUGUGAGAAAUAAAUUCCUAUUCUUUUAAAAUUA